GCUUUUCUGUUUAAGGAAUUGCCUGGACCAAUUCUGUAUAUUCUGUAUUCUCUGCAAUUAGAGCCACUGCAUUUCCUGCUACUUUUUUAAAAAAAAGCUUUAGUUCUUAGGGUUUAUCCUCCAUCUUCUUAGGUCAGAAGAUGCUCUGAAGUGCCCUGCCUAUUGGUCUUCCUCCCCUCUCUUUGCCAUGGGGAGCAUACACACAUUUCCUGGGGAUGUACACAGAACACAAACUCUGAGAUCUGCAGAAGUAUCAGAGGUUUUCAUAUUCCCUAUGUUCAUCUUGUUCUCCAUAAUCCCUUCUAUAUGCCUGGCUAGACUGCUGUUUGCUAUGAUCAAAUCAAGCCAUAGACUUAGGCAGCUGCAAUAUUGUCAAGAGAAAGAUAUUUCCUUGGCAGUCCUCUAAAGGUAGGGCUUUUUUCUUCUUAACGAACUGAGUAUGGUGCUGAAUUGAAUAGCCACAGGACCUGGGCAUAGCGAUUUCUCUGGUAGGUGGAAGUUCAGACAAUGUAUUUACUGUGCUCUGGAGAUGUGUUCUUAUUGGAAUUUCAGGAGAGUUCAGUCAUCCUUUUUGGCUGUAGGAAUACUUGCUUUCCAUGGUUACCACACUCCUGAGGAGGGGGUGAAGGGAUAUAGGAAUAGUCCCAAGUUAAAAGGAGGUUAUGUUAUGAAGUUUCAGUGGGUUCUCUUAGAUAGUAUGUACUUUCAUUUCAGUGAAGAAUGAAGACUAAUAGGCCAGCCUGUAGGACUUCCACAGGUCUGCACUAUUAAAUGUUUCUUAAACUGUGCACCUUAACUACCUUCAAGUUCUAUUAUUUUCUCUCCAAACUUUAGUCUUAUCAGGGUUUUAUUUGCUAAGAUAUUACUUUUCAUGACUAAUUAGAAAUAAUGCUGAACAUUUUAUAAUGUGGCUUCCAGAAACAGAUUGAAUAUGUUAGGGCUCCAAGGUGACAUAAUUUAAGUUUAUAUCAGAAUACAGAUUUAAAAGUGUUUGUACAAAAUAUAAGACUUUUAAAACUGAGAAACACUGAAACAAAAUGAAGCAGGCUGUGUAAUACAGGGCACUUGGUAUUUAGCUCAAAAGGGCAUUUUACAAGCUGGUUAAAGUUAAAUCCUUUAUCUAUAGAAGUAUUGACUACUUCCCAAAUCAACCAUUCAUCAAUAUGUCCAGACGUUUCCAACAAAGAGUGUGCAAUGGAUUUAACUUUCCUUCUGUUCAAAUUGCUAGCACAGGAUCAAUGAAAACCAAUUGCUCUUUGUCAGAAGUACAAGAUAACAAAAUAACUGAGAGUUACAGCCAUCUUCAGUCAACUGGUUAAUUAUUUGUAUUUUGGUUCCUUUUUAAUUUUGAAUUUUCUCUGGAGUGAAAUCUUGCUCUAUAUUUUCCUCCAGUGAUGUGCUCUACCCUAGUGAUUUCCAGAAGGUAAGAGUAAAUCAAACCAAUUAUAAUUAGUGCUCUUUUGAGCCCAGAAAUCAUUAGAGAUAGCAAGAGGGAAACUUUCCUGAACUCCUAUCUGCUCAUUCCACAAGCUCUCGUGCCUGUUUUUAUAAUAGGCUCAUUAUCAAAGAUGGUAAAUGGACCUUUAACUUCAAUUAAUCCCUGUUGUUCACUUGACUGUGUUCAUCCUGUAAACUAAGGAGCUGAGCUGAUUAAAAAUUUGCUUAGUUAGGUAUGUCAUAAUUUCCUUUCCAAACUUUUUUUCCUACUUUGCUCCAAAUUGCCCUUAAGCAGGCAGCCACAUCCAGCGAGUUGGAUGUCAUUCACUUGGGUUGAAAAUGACAUAACAAAAAGAGACACCAGGCUGGUGUGGGGACCGGGAAGGAUAGUAGUCACAAAUAGUAGCAAACAUGAGGUCAGGGUCUUAGAAGAGCUUCCCUGAAAAUAGACUCUGAGAUGCGAAUGCUGUGCAAAAGGCUUUCUGUACCAUGAUCAGAGUAGAUAAACCUUUAGUGAAGUGAGAAGUUGGAGUUAGGCAAAAGGAAAGCUGACCUGCAAUGUGGUCUCCACUAAGGCCCUCACCAAGCCAUGGGAAGCUCUUGAGCUAGGACCAUCCUUACAUGGACCAAGCCUCUGUUCCUCUGUGUCAGCUUGCUUGGUGGUGGCAUAACUGUGGACAUGAACUUUCCUACAGCUAAGAGUAACACCCAGUAAUAGAUACAGCUGUGAACUCUCAGCAUCCAGGAAUCCCCGCAGCUGGGAUGUGUGCGUGUGGACUAUGGAAGGGAUCCUGGUUGGACUUCCAGAGAAUCUGCUGUAGUCAGUCAAUUAGGCAGGCUUAGGGUUAGGGGGUGUACAGUGUGGUUUUUAUGUCACUAGAAGUGCCGUGAUUAAACUAGCACUGCUAAGCUUUUAUGGCCAUGAGGGAAGAUUUGAUGGUGUAAUGGCAUCCAUGUAUCUUCAAAAUGAGUGUUUUUCAGCCCAGACCCCAAAUAGGCAAUGGCUUUUCCCAUUAGAAGCUACGAACUAUAGCCCUUUGCAUCAUCACAAACUGAAGAUGAUGGAAGUCAGGGCAACAAUCAUUUGGGUAAAUGGGCAGGGAGAAAAAUUAUGUGGAACCAAGGCACAGAGAGAAGGGUGUUUUUGUCUUUCCUGAGUUUUACAUAAAGCGGGAAGCUGACUUUUCAUAAAGCAUUUGGGGAAAUCUAACUACCGUCAGAAUUUUGAUCAUAAAAGUUAGAUUCUCUAAGUUCUUUGGAUCUUCCUUGCCCAGUAGCAGCAGUGCUGGUUACACGGCCAUGCUCCUACUAUGGACAGUACAAAAUGUAAGCAAAACACAAAACAAAUCUUUUCGAAGGUCAUAGAGGAGACAACUAAGCUUAAAGACCAGGACCUGGGAGAGGAGGAAAGCAUGUUGAGAGGGGUCCAUCAUUCCAGAGGGAUUUUCCAUUGAGGAUGUGACAGGUCCUAAGUGUCACAGGGCUGAAAGGCUCUGAAGCCAAGGAGAAAGCAGUGACUUUUGGUUGGGAAACCUGAUUCUUUUUUUUUUUUCUUUUUAGGGCCACAUCCGUGGCAUAUGGAGGUUCCCAGCUCCAAUUGGAACUACAACUGCCGGCCUACGCCAGAGCCACAGCAACGCU
rnacentral:lncRNA from 1 species